GAUCUACUCCCUUCGUCCAGAAAUACUUGUCAUCAAAAUGAAUAAAAGGGGAUGUAUCUAGAUGUAUAUUAGUUCUAGAUAUAUGCUUUUUUAUUCAUUUUGAUGAAAAGUUUUUUCAGACAGAGGUUUGUGUGAU
rnacentral:pre_miRNA from 1 species